ensembl:lncRNA
GUGAGUUAGGUCUGGAGUGAUGAAGGUGAGUUAGGUCUGGAGUGAUGAAGGUGAGUUAGGUCUGGAGUGAUGAAGGUGAGUUAGGUCUGGAGUGAUGAAGGUGAGUUAGGUCUGGAGUGAUGAAGGUCAGGAGGUGUGGAGUGAUGAAGGUGAGUUAGGUCUGGAGUGAUGAUAAUGAAGAUGUUUGUUAGGUGAGAAGUGAUGAUGAUGAUGAAGGCUGAUGAGGAAGGUUUGUGAGGUGUGGAGUGAUGAAGGUUUGUGAGCUGUGGAGUGAUGAAGGUGAGGAGGUGUGGAGUGAUGAAGGUGAGGAGGUUUGCAGUGAUGAAGGUGAGGAGGUG